CGAAAUUAAGUGCCCGUUCGAUCGUCAUCUGAGGGUUGUGAUUCUACCUCAGUUAUCCUCUCACGGGCGCUGGUUUUUCAACACGGAGUGUCCUGCGUUCAUAUUGCUCACGCACGGCGCCCCGCUCAUGACCGGCAACUCACUCUAGAGGUUUCCAUCCAUCCAGAAACUUCUGCUUUUUCAUCGGGUUGCUUCCCUUAUCUUCCCUCUCGUCUUCUUGCCGCCGGCCAUAUGUGCGCCAACUUGCUCCAGGAGCCUCCCCAUAUCGUCCCGCACCUCGAGCUGCCAUUUCCCGGGCCGGCCGAGCCAUUCCCCGCCGUAAUCAGCGAUUCCGGCCGGGCGGAGUAGCUUCCCCCGCGGAAGCCCAGCCGCCGUCGACCCUCUCCCUCAAGUCCUCCGCCCGAAUUGAGCUCCUGGUCGCGCGCUGUGCCGCCGUGUCUUCGCGCAUCGGCCGUUCCGCCUGUCGCGCCCCCCCCGGUGCGCCGCACCUUGGGGAGCCUCGCCCAGCCGCUUUCGCUACCGAGCGCUCAUCGUCGAUGAGCGUCUGAACGGCCAGCGCACGAGGUCAGCCCGUCUCGGGGCACACCUGGCUGCCCUGCGGGACUCUACAAGUGCGGCUCGAUCCCAGGAGGCCGCGUCGCCUCUCCAUGGCCACCAUUGUCGCCGGAAUCGCCCUUUCCCCGUGCUCCUCUGCUUCAAAUCGCAACCAAGGACCUCGGACUCCCUCGCUCAAAGGAUCUGCAUCUCUCCCUCAAGUCUGGAUCUCUGGUUCCUUCUCUCCCCCGUUACUCCUGUUUCCUACAUCUCUGCAGGCGACGCCCCGCGGCUGACCCCAGACCCGCUGCCCCGAGGCCGACGACGCCAGCCAACGCCGACCCCAGGAGCCACCGUUCCGCGGCCGGCCACCAGCAGCGCGUGUCCAAUAGGGGCAGGGUUGGGACAGGCGAGCGAUGGCCCACAGGCGCGUGCGGCAUGGGCUCCUGCGGCUGGCCAGCGGAGGCCGGAGGCUUGUGCGGCCCCCCACGGGGCUCAUCAAGGUGGACCGGGUCCUCUACUCCUCCGUCGUGUACCCGCACAACUAUGGCUUCAUCCCCCAUCGACGUCCUCGUCCUCAUGCAGGUGAGGCCGGUCGAUAUCAGGAUUAAUUUCAGAAGGCUUAGCAUAGCCAUGCCCAAACCUCCAUCGUGCUCUGCGUUGUUCGUUUUUUUUUAAAAAAAAUCUAACAACUGCAUGCCAUUGGCAACCAGGAACCAGUUCGGCCACCUCCCGUCCACGGUCACCUUCAGUUUCGGCCUGUUGCCAAAUCAUAUUAAUAUAUGAUCAUUUAGAUAAUUGUUUAUACAUUUCUAUUCAGCUAUAUUAAUUGUAGACCUCACCAGUGAUUGCAACGGUACCUAAAAGCAAAUAGAAUCACAUAAGAGUAUAUUAUAGAUCUUCUUUGAUUUUUUUGAUUUUGGCCUAGAAUAUCUUUCUUCAUACUUAGUCAAGUUAUCUUAAAAUACCAUUUCAUAUUAGCAGUUGUACGUUGCAUAUUCAUUUUCAGGUUUAUUGAAAUGCCUGCAAAGUUGAAGAGAUUCCAGAAAUUUUGCAGGCUGUGGCCGUUUAAAGCAGAUUAGUUUGCAUUGAAAUGGCUGCAUGGUUCAAAUUUGAACCUUAACUAAUAUUAUCAUGGCAGCAUCUUGUGAACUGCUUCAACGUCCAUCGACUCAUGAACUGGCGCAAAAGCAGUCAGCUGUUUUAUUUUGCUGAAAUGUCAUGUUAUCCCGGUGAGCAAAUUUGAAACUUAUUACCAUGUAGUUCUUGAGAUGUAUCAAAUCUUUGACAUUGGCAGGUCUUAAAACUGGUUGCACGCACCGAGGUCAUCAGGCUUUGUAUUUUCAAAUUUCGGCUGACUCACGAGUCCUGUUCAAAGUUUAUUUGGAACAAUGUUAAAUGUCAUUCUGUGAAGGAUAUGCUCUUACGUCUGUAUAGCCUGGAAGCAUAAUACAGAAAUACUACCAGAAGGACAACUCACACCAGCUUCAAUUCUUCAGCGCAGAGAAAUGACUACAUUGGUGGUCAAUCCUACAAGACCCUCCUACAUGAUAGAAUGAGGAUGUGGCCAUCAUUUUGUCAAGCAUCUACCGCUACUACCAGCCAUACUCUAAAGUAGAUGAACAACCUACCAAUAUGAAGCAUCCACCUACUUAGUAUUCAGUUAUUCAAAACUUAUCUAUGGACAACUAAUGUGUAGUAUUGAGUAUUGUAAUUUGCUAUCUACUCCCUCCGUUCCAAAAUGUAGGUCGUUUUGGCUUUUUUAGAUUCAUAGUAUUUGCUAUGCACCUAGAUAUAACAUAUGUCUAUGUACAUAGCAAAAUAUAUGAAUAUAGAAAAGUCAAAAAGACCUAUAUUUUGGAACAGAGGGAGUAGAACUUAUGUCUUUGUAUGCUGGUCUAAAAAAUGAAAAAAACUAUGCUAUCUAGGGUUGAAAACGAAAACGAAAAUUUUCGAUUACCGGGAACCGUUUUCGAGAUUUUACCGAGAUUCUGGUGUAAACGAAAAUGAAAACGGCUACCGAAAAUACGGAAACGAAAAUGGUAAUUUUAUCCGA